AGAACGAACGCUGGCGGCAUGCCUAAUACAUGCAAGUCGAACGAACUCUUCGGAGUUAGUGGCGCACGGGUGCGUAACGCGUGGGAAUCUGCCCUUGGGUUCGGAAUAACAGUUGGAAACGACUGCUAAUACCGGAUGAUGACGAAAGUCCAAAGAUUUAUCGCCCAGGGAUGAGCCCGCGUAGGAUUAGCUAGUUGGUGAGGUAAAGGCUCACCAAGGCGACGAUCCUUAGCUGGUCUGAGAGGAUGAUCAGCCACACUGGGACUGAGACACGGCCCAGACUCCUACGGGAGGCAGCAGUAGGGAAUAUUGGACAAUGGGCGAAAGCCUGAUCCAGCAAUGCCGCGUGAGUGAUGAAGGCCGUUA
rnacentral:rRNA from 1 species